rnacentral:ncRNA from 2 species
GAUAGCGGUGCUGCGUCCUUGAGGACCUGGCCACGAACCCCAUGCGGGUUCCCGGGCAGGCAACGACGAGCGAGUGAUCGGCAUUCUAACGACAGGCCCGAAGCCGAUAUUUCCUCAAUGCGACAACAAAUUACAGAAGCACUGAGAAACCAGGCCGAGCACAUUGACAGCUCUUCAGAUUUAUGCAAGAGCAAAAGACGGUAAACCAAUCUGUGUUGCAAAUUGCGGGCCUAUUAUUCGCAAAGCCUUCUAUUCCGGCAAGCGCAGCGUUAUGACUUAUUUUUUACCGACCCCGCAAAGGCCCUGAAACAGGGCUUGGCGUUUCUCAUUGCCCCGAAUCCGGGCAGCGGGUUACACAUUCCCUCCCGCCGGUAACAUUCAGAUACGCCUGAUGGACAUACCGAUAUUUAUUCGAUCGAAAAACCGCUGCCUGUAGCCGCUGCCGCAGGCUGCG